CCUACGGGAGGCAGCAGUGGGGAAUCUUGCGCAAUGGGCGAAAGCCUGACGCAGCAACGCCGCGUGGGGGAAGAAGGCUUUCGGGCUGUAAACCGCUUUCAGUAGGAACGAAACU
rnacentral:rRNA from 1 species